rnacentral:rRNA from 1 species
AGUGAACGCUGGCGGUAGGCCUAACACAUGCAAGUCGAACGGCAGCACAGUAAGAGCUUGCUCUUACGGGUGGCGAGUGGCGGACGGGUGAGGAAUACAUCGGAAUCUACUUUUUCGUGGGGGAUAACGUAGGGAAACUUACGCUAAUACCGCAUACGACCUACGGGUGAAAGCAGGGGAUCUUCGGACCUUGCGCGAUUGAAUGAGCCGAUGUCGGAUUAGCUAGUUGGCGGGGUAAAGGCCCACCAAGGCGACGAUCCGUAGCUGGUCUGAGAGGAUGAUCAGCCACACUGGAACUGAGACACGGUCCAGACUCCUACGGGAGGCAGCAGUGGGGAAUAUUGGACAUUGGGCGCAAGCCUGAUCCAGCCAUACCGCGUGGGUGAAGAAGGCCUUCGGGUUGUAAAGCCCUUUUGUUGGGAAAGAAAAGUAGCAGGUUAAUACCCCGCUGUUCUGACGGUACCCAAAGAAUAAGCACCGGUUAACUUCGUG